rnacentral:rRNA from 1 species
UACAGGUCUGAUCGAGGGGGUAUUGCUUUACCAAGGCUUGCGACGGCUAGCCAGCAUGAGGAGGGCGAGGGUUCACAUUUGGGACUGAGAUACCAUCCAGACUUCCUACGGGAAGGCAGCAGUGGGGAAUAUUGCACAUCGGCGAAAGCUGAUGCAGCGACGCCGCGUGACGGGAUGGAGGCCUUCGGGUUGUAAACCUCUUUCGGCAGGAAGAAGCGUUAAGUGACGGUACCUGCAGAAGAAGCGCCGGCUAACUACGUGCCAGCAGCCGCGGUAAUACGUAGGGCGCAAGCGUUGUCCGGAAUUAUUGGGCGUAAAGAGCUCGUAGGUGGUUUGUCGCGUCUGGUGUGAAAUCCCGGGGCUUAACUUCGGGCGUGCAUCGGGUACGGGCAGGCUAGAGUGCGGUAGGGGAGACUGGAAUUCCUGGUGUAGCGGUGGAAUGCGCAGAUAUCAGGAGGAACACCGAUGGCGAAGGCAGGUCUCUGGGCCGCAACUGACGCUGAGGAGCGAAAGCAUGGGGAGCGAACAGGAUUAGAUACCCUGGUAGUCCAUGCCGUAAACGUUGGGCACUAGGUGUGGGGCCUAUUCCACGGGUUCCGUGCCGUAGCUAACGCAUUAAGUGCCCCGCCUGGGGAGUACGGCCGCAAGGCUAAAACUCAAAGGAAUUGACGGGGGCCCGCACAAGCGGCGGAGCAUGCGGAUUAAUUCGAUGCAACGCGAAGAACCUUACCAAGGCUUGACAUGCACUGGGAGUCACCAGAGAUGGUGGUGUCUUCGGACUGGUGCACAGGUGGUGCAUGGUUGUCGUCAGCUCGUGUCGUGAGAUGUUGGGUUAAGUCCCGCAACGAGCGCAACCCUCGUCCUAUGUUGCCAGCGGGUUAUGCCGGGGACUCAUGGGAGACCGCCGGGGUCAACUCGGAGGAAGGUGGGGAUGACGUCAAAUCAUCAUGCCCCUUAUGUCUUGGGCUUCACGCAUGCUACAAUGGCCGGUACAAAGGGCUGCGAUCCUGUGAGGGUGAGCGAAUCCCAAAAAGCCGGUCUCAGUUCGGAUUGGGGUCUGCAACUCGACCCCAUGAAGUUGGAGU